GACGUAGGGCGCGAGCGUUGUCCGGAUUUAUUGGGCGUAAAGAGCUCGUAGGCGGCUUGUUGCGUCGACUGUGAAAACCCACGGCUCAACCGUGUGGUCUGCAGUCGAUACGGGCAGGCUAGAAUUCGGUAGGGGAGACUGGAAUUCCUGGUGUAGCGGUGAGAUGCGCAGAUAUCAGGAGGAACACCGGUGGCGAAGGCGGGUCUCUGGGCCGAUAUUGACGCUGAGGAGCGAAAGCGUGGGGAGCGAACAGG
rnacentral:rRNA from 1 species